AGCGAACGCUGGCGGCAGGCCUAACACAUGCAAGUCGAACGGAUCCUUCGGGAUUAGUGGCGGACGGGUGAGUAACACGUGGGAACGUGCCCUUUGGUUCGGAGCAACUCAGGGAAACUUGAGCUAAUACCGUAUGUGCCCUUCGGGGGAAAGAUUUAUUGCCAUUGGAGCGGCCCGCGUCUGUUUAGCUAGUUGGUGGGGUAAAGGCCUACCAAGGCGACGAUCAGUAGCUGGUCUGAGAGGAUGAUCAGCCACAUUGGGACUGAGACACGGCCCAAACUCCUACGUGAGGCAGCAGUGGGGAAUCUUGCGCAAUGGGCGAAGGCCUGACGCAGCCAUGCCGCGUGAAUGAUGAAGGUCUUAGGAUUGUAAAAUUCUUUCACCGGGGACGAUAAUGACGGUACCCGGAGAAGAAGCCCCGGCUAACUUCGUGCCAGCCGCCGCCGUAA
rnacentral:rRNA from 1 species